rnacentral:rRNA from 1 species
GUACACUCCUACGGGAGGCAGCAGUGGGGAAUAUUGCACAAUGGGCGCAAGCCUGAUGCAGCCAUGCCGCGUGUAUGAAGAAGGCCUUCGGGUUGUAAAGUACUUUCAGCGGGGAGGAAGGCAAUACGGUUAAUAACCGUGUUGAUUGACGUUACCCGCAGAAGAAGCACCGGCUAACUCCGUGCCAGCAGCCGCGGUAAUACGGAGGGUGCAAGCGUUAAUCGGAAUUGCUGGGCGUAAAGCGCACGCAGGCGGUCUGUCAAGUCGGAUGUGAAAUCCCCGGGCUCAACCUGGGAACUGCAUUCGAAACUGGCAGGCUUGAGUCUUGUAGAGGGGGGUAGAAUUCCAGGUGUAGCGGUGAAAUGCGUAGAGAUCUGGAGGAAUACCGGUGGCGAAGGCGGCCCCCUGGACAAAGACUGACGCUCAGGUGCGAAAGCGUGGGGAGCAAACAGGAUUAGAAACCCUAGUAGUCCC